AUUGGACGCUGGCGGCAGGCUUAACACAUGCAAGUCGAGCGGGGUGAUGGUGCUUGCACUAUCACUUAGCGGCGGACGGGUGAGUAAUGCUUAGGAAUCUGCCUAUUAGUGGGGGACAACAUCUCGAAAGGGAUGCUAAUACCGCAUACGUCCUACGGGAGAAAGCAGGGGAUCACUUGUGACCUUGCGCUAAUAGCUGAGCCUAAGUCGGAUUAGCUAGUUGGUGGGGUAAAGGCCUACCAAGGCGACGAUCUGUAGCGGGUCUGAGAGGAUGAUCCGCCACACUGGGACUGAGACACGGCCCAGACUCCUACGGGAGGCAGCAGUGGGGAAUAUUGGACAAUGGGGGGAACCCUGAUCCAGCCAUGCCGCGUGUGUGAAGAAGGCCUUAUGGUUGUAAAGCACUUUAAGCGAGGAGGAGGCUCUUUUGGUUAAUACCCAAGAUGAGUGGACGUUACUCGCAGAAUAAGCACCGGCUAACUCUGUGCCAGCAGCCGCCGUAA
rnacentral:rRNA from 1 species